UACAGAGGUCCCAAGCGUUGUUCGGAUUCACUGGGCGUAAAGGGUGCGUAGGCGGUCGGGUAAGUCUGAUGUGAAAUCUCACAGCUUAACUGUGAAACUGCAUUGGAUACUAUCCGGCUCGAGGAAUGGAGGGGAGACUGGAAUACUUGGUGUAGCAGUGAAAUGCGUAGAGAUCCGGAGGAACACCAAAGGCGAAGGCAGUGUCCUGGGGAGUACCUGACGCUCAGGUGCGAAAGCCAGGGGAGCGAACGGG
rnacentral:rRNA from 1 species